rnacentral:rRNA from 1 species
AGUGAACGCUGGCGGUAGGCCUAACACAUGCAAGUCGAACGGCAGCACAGUAAGAGCUUGCUCUUACGGGUGGCGAGUGGCGGACGGGUGAGAAAUACAUCGGAAUCUACUUUUUCGUGGGGGAUAACGUAGGGAAACUUACGCUAAUACCGCAUACGACCUACGGGUGAAAGCAGGGGAUCUUCGGACCUUGCGCGAUUGAAUGAGCCGAUGUCGGAUUAGCUAGUUGGCGGGGUAAAGGCCCACCAAGGCGACGAUCCGUAGCUGGUCUGAGAGGAUGAUCAGCCACACUGGAACUGAGACACGGUCCAGACUCCUACGGGAGGCAGCAGUGGGGAAUAUUGGACAAUGGGCGCAAGCCUGAUCCAGCCAUACCGCGUGGGUGAAGAAGGCCUUCGGGUUGUAAAGCCCUUUUGUUGGGAAAGAAAAGCAGCAGGUUAAUACCCCGCUGUUCCGACGGUACCCAAAGAAUAAGCACCGGCUAACUUCGUG